rnacentral:antisense_RNA from 2 species
CUUUACGGGUGGCUCAUGUGGGGAGCCGAAAGGCUCGCCGGUCCUUGUUCCGGUCUGUCAACCCGCAUGAGUCCGCCCACCAUU